ACGACCGUCUUCGCGGCCCACAAAGUAGUGGUGCACAACGCCGUGUAAAAGGGGCUUGAUUUGCGGAGAUCACAACAAUAACCUCUCUGUGAAGGAAAAACCUGGAGAGAAAAACAGUGGCAUCCCCCCCACUAAGCAUGUAAACAGGAGGUUGUUGCCGUUGAAACUCUGCAGGCAGGAUAAGAGUUGGCUUCAGAUCCCAUUGGUCUCACAAAAUGCGGAGGGCGUUAACCCGCUUCACCCGACUGUACCCCUGAUAGUGCUGGAGGCCAGGAUGGGUGGUUGGUGGAGAAACCUCAGGACUGUGUCCAGAGACCAGGAUUUGCAUCCUGCAGAAACACUUUGGUUAAGGUUAGUGAAAGAUGGUGGCUGUGGUUGAAUGUUAAUAGGCACGUAAUGAUUUGUGUUUCAAGUCGCUGCAGAUUUUGUCUGUAGUUAACCAAGACCAUCAUCUCUCCUAACCUCAACCAAGUGCUGUGAGAGACUUAAUUCAGCCAUAAAAAGUAGAAUAAUGCUGAAGUCACUACAAGCAGAUAUUGCAUUGCAAGGUUGUUGUUUAUCUGGUGUUUAACAAAAACAUGUGUCAAUACAUAUUUUACUGAUACGUUCAUUAUUAAUAUUUUUGCAACUUGACAGAAACAUUCAUUAAAUCAUGCUGCGGAUUGAAAGCGUUUUCCUCCAGAUGGUUAUGUCUGUGGUGCAAAUGUAUAGUGAUACAUUAAAGGCACAAACUAGAGCUUCAUGUAGCCUGUAGU